rnacentral:rRNA from 1 species
GACGAACGCUGGCGGCGUGCUUAACACAUGCAAGUCGAACGGAAAGGCCCUGCUUUUGUGGGGUGCUCGAGUGGCGAACGGGUGAGUAACACGUGAGUAACCUGCCCUUGACUUUGGGAUAACUUCAGGAAACUGGGGCUAAUACCGGAUAGGAGCUCCUGCUGCAUGGUGGGGGUUGGAAAGUUUCGGCGGUUGGGGAUGGACUCGCGGCUUAUCAGCUUGUUGGUGGGGUAGUGGCUUACCAAGGCUUUGACGGGUAGCCGGCCUGAGAGGGUGACCGGCCACAUUGGGACUGAGAUACGGCCCAGACUCCUACGGGAGGCAGCAGUGGGGAAUAUUGCACAAUGGGCGGAAGCCUGAUGCAGCAACGCCGCGUGCAGGAUGACGGCCUUCGGGUUGUAAACCGCUUUCGCCUGUGACGAAGCGUGAGUGACGGUAAUGGGUAAAGAAGCACCGGCUAACUACGUGCCAGCAGCCGCGGUGAUACGUAGGGCGCGAGCGUUGUCCGGAUUUAUUGGGCGUAAAGGGCUCGUAGGUGGUUGAUCGCGUCGGAAGUGUAAUCUUGGGGCUUAACCCUGAGCGUGCUUUCGAUACGGGUUGACUUGAGGAAGGUAGGGGAGAAUGGAAUUCCUGGUGGAGCGGUGGAAUGCGCAGAUAUCAGGAGGAACACCAGUGGCGAAGGCGGUUCUCUGGGCCUUUCCUGACGCUGAGGAGCGAAAGCGUGGGGAGCGAACAGGCUUAGAUACCCUGGUAGUCCACGCUGUAAACGGUGGGUACUAGGUGUGGGGUCCAUUCCACGGGUUCCGUGCCGUAGCUAACGCUUUAAGUACCCCGCCUGGGGAGUACGGCCGCAAGGCUAAAACUCAAAGGAAUUGACGGGGCCCCGCACAAGCGGCGGAGCAUGCGGAUUAAUUCGAUGCAACGCGUAGAACCUUACCUGGGUUUGACAUGGAUCGGGAGCGCUCAGAGAUGGGUGUGCCUCUUUUGGGGUCGGUUCACAGGUGGUGCAUGGCUGUCGUCAGCUCGUGUCGUGAGAUGUUGGGUUAAGUCCCGCAACGAGCGCAACCCUUGUUCACUGUUGCCAGCACGUUAUGGUGGGGACUCAGUGGAGACCGCCGGGGUCAACUCGGAGGAAGGUGGGGAUGACGUCAAGUCAUCAUGCCCCUUAUGUCCAGGGCUUCACGCAUGCUACAAUGGCUGGUACAGAGAGUGGCGAGCCUGUGAGGGUGAGCGAAUCUCGGAAAGCCGGUCUCAGUUCGGAUUGGGGUCUGCAACUCGACCUCAUGAAGUCGGAGUCGCUAGUAAUCGCAGAUCAGCAACGCUGCGGUGAAUACGUUCCCGGG